AUUCCUUAGGAUGCCCAUGAGCAUACCUCCAAGCCUUAGUCAGCCCAUGAUCCACAAUAGCCUCUUGGCUUGAUAAUGCAUUUUCAAUUAAUUUUUGUUCAUCUUCUUGUAAUGUCAUCUCAUCAAUCUUUUCUUCAAGAAUUUCAGUAUCAUCAUCAAGAUCAACUCUCUUGCUAGAAGAGAUAUCACUAGAAUGAUCAAAAACAACAUGUAUAGAUUCUUCAAUA
rnacentral:lncRNA from 1 species